rnacentral:lncRNA from 1 species
CUGCAAAAACUUGACUCGGAAAAACAAAUUCUCCCUUCCGCUUCUUCUCCUCCUCAAAACAUGCAUAUUCCCUUCUUCAGUGUGUCCUACAAGACAGGGAAUUUAAAGACACAGCUACUUCAUGGUGGCCAAGAAUCAGCUUUAGAAUCUGCAAUGAAGAAAAGAAUCAUGAGUUUUCUUAAUAUAUCUGAAAAUGAUUACUCUAUGGUUUUCACCGCAAACAGAACAUCAGCUUUCAAACUUUUAGCAGAGUCUUACCCGUUCAAGACUAGCCGGAAGCUUCUGACUGUGUACGACUAUGAGAGUGAGGCAGUGGAAGCAAUGAUUAAUAGCUCUGAUAAGAAAGGAGCCCAGGUCAUGUCAGCAGAGUUCUCGUGGCCUAGGUUAAGGAUUCAAUCAGCAAAAUUGAGGAAAAUGGUUGAGAUGAAAAGCAAAAGGAAGAAGACGAAGAGAGGACUAUUUGUCUUCCCACUUCAUUCUAGAAUGACUGGAGCCAGAUAUCCAUAUUUAUGGAUGAACAUAGCAAAGGAGAAUGGCUGGCACAUCUUGAUUGAUGCUUGCGCAUUGGGACCAAAAGACAUGGACAGCUUCGGCCUCUCUCUCAUUCGCCCAGACUUCCUC